AACGAACGCUGGCGGCAUGCCUAACACAUGCAAGUCGAACGAGACCUUCGGGUCUAGUGGCGCACGGGUGCGUAACGCGUGGGAACCUGCCCUUAGGUUCGGAAUAACUCCCCGAAAGGGGUGCUAAUACCGGAUAAUGUCUUCGGACCAAAGAUUUAUCGCCUUUGGAUGGGCCCGCGUUGGAUUAGCUAGUUGGUAGGGUAAAAGCCUACCAAGGCGACGAUCCAUAGCUGGUCUGAGAGGAUGAUCAGCCACACUGGGACUGAGACACGGCCCAGACUCGUACGGGAAGCAGUAGUGGGGAAUAUUGGACAAGGGGCGAAAGCCUGAGCCAGCAAUGCCGCGUGAGUGAUGAAGGCCGUAGGGUUGUAAAGCUCUUUUACCCGGGAUGAUAAUGACAGUACCGGGAGAAUAAGCUCCGGCUAACUCCGUG
rnacentral:rRNA from 1 species